UCCCUGGUGGCUUAGAGGUUAAAGCGUCUGCCUGAAAUGCAGGAGACCCAGGUUCGAUCCCUGUGUCAGGAA
rnacentral:tRNA from 1 species